UUCAGAGUAAAUUUCCUUAUUAGGCUGCGUUUCCAAGAAAAUUCCAGUCGAAAUCUCUGUAUCUGCCGAGAUUCUUGACUGUUCCUCCACUACAGACUCGACCUCGAAAGGCUUAACCUAACGGAAACCCGAACUCUCGGGGACUCUGUUCCGGUGAAUUCUGAAUUGGCGAGUUUUAUAUAUAUUUAAGCUGACGUGUUUCGAAGAAGAACCAAUGGAGUUUCCUGGAGGUGAAGGUAAAUUGACAAAAAGUUGGUGCUCUUGACGAAGCAACUUCAUUCCGUGGACAACUGAUUGGAAUAUUCUGAUGCUACAGUAACAGUGGAAGCCAAUGAAUUGCAAGAGAGACGGUGCAGUCUGGAGUGCAGGUCCAAGGCUAGAUCACCAGGGAAAGUGGACAAAGGAAUGGCACAUGGACUUUAACUCAGGCACGUGCGAAAUGACAAGGGCAAGGACCAUGAUUUGAGCUGAAUUUGUAUGUGCUCAAAUUUAAUUGGUCAGGGCACUUGAAAACCAAGAAUUCCCUCUAUGUAUAAGGUUCUGUAAAGUUUAACCAAUAAACAAACGUAAAGCUGAGGAGAAAGCUGAUAAUGUCCAGAAAAGUUUGGCCUUAAAAGAACAGAUUCUCAGCAGCAAAAGCACUACAGUGAGGAAGAGAUGAUCUGGUACAUACAAGCACAAAUUGAUUGUUCAUGGAUUGAUCACUGGGGCAGCCCAGUGGGGCAUGCGAAUUUAAGCUUGUAACAUCGAAAGAGGGAACACUGAAGGUAGCAGUAUCUGCCACUACAUUGCUAUUGCAAUCUCUUAAUUCAAGUAAAGGCAAAAUGUUGGAAGAAAUUCCAGCCUGUCAUCACUUAUUAAAUCCCUGGCUUGGACUCUUCUACCACUGAUGUUACAGUUGUUGAAGAAGAAGAAGAAGAAUAGCCCUUAACUCGGCAGUGGAGUUAUUGGGGCACCUUCUUUUGACGGUGUUUCCGUAGCAAGCUAUUAUUGUUUUUAUGAGGCUGAGUUGCUAGCUCGAUGCUCAACCCGACUUGGAUUCGAACUUGGGAACCUUCGCUCCGGAGUCCGGCGCUGAUACUAUUGCGCCAGCAGGCAGGACUCAGUUACAGUUGAUGGAUCAUCACUUUGUUGUGGUAGCAAGGCUCGUGAGUUCCUGAGAGUCCAAGAGUGACGCCCUCUGGAGUUUAGCCAUCUGAUGCUCAGCUCCUGGCAGGGUCAACCAUGGCGGUAUCAUCAAAGGAGAGUUUCCAGACAAAGACUGAUCCAACCGAGACCUCAGUGGUGGAGCUGGUGAUAGCUGAUGACACACCACAUCGACAGUGAAGGUGGAGGAAGGCUGCAGCAAAGGAAGGUCCCCAGUCAUCUUGCAUUCCAGGCCACUGGACCCCGACUCCAAUCUGUCAAGGGCUGUGUGGUGGCUGCCCGUGCAUUAGCCUCCCCUACGUUAAACAAAGUCAUGCACAGGCAUUCUCCAUGAAGGGAAUCCACCUUCUUGCCAGCUCAGAGACUGGGAUGUAUCAAAUGGUACAUUAUGAACUCUAUUAUUAAUACCAGUGUUCUUGACCCUUUAGAAAUUAAAAUCAAUCAAAAAAUAGUAUUAACUAUAUUAGGGAUCUAGUAUAAAAUCCCAGGUAAAUUAUUAAAAUUCUGACAAUUCAUUUGGUAUAGAUUACGUUGGCUAGAAGUUAUCGAUAAAACUACAAUGAUGGCUUAAAACUUUUGCAGACAAUAUUAAAUACUACAAAUGUGAGAAUAAAGACU